rnacentral:rRNA from 1 species
AAGGAUCAUUACAGAAAUAUGAACGUUUGUGGUCGUGUUUGGGUUGUUGCUGGCCUCAUCCGUGAGGUAUGUGCACGCCUUGGGACCCAGGCGUUCAAGUCCUUUCUUUCACACCCUGUGAACCAUCUGUAGCUAGGGAUGAUUACGGAGCCUUUCGGUUUCGAAUGCCCUGGCUAUGAAGUUUUCUAUGCACGCUUUGUAGAGUUUAUUGGAACGUUUAUAAUCGCGUCUUUGAUGGCGUGAAUGAAAUACAACUUUCAGCAACGGAUCUCUUGGCUCUCGCAUCGAUGAAGAACGCAGCGAAAUGCGAUAAGUAAUGUGAAUUGCAGAAUUCAGUGAAUCAUCGAAUCUUUGAACGCACCUUGCGCUCCUUGGUAUUCCGAGGAGCAUGCCUGUUUGAGUGUCAUGAAGUUCUCAACUGCCCUUKUUUAUUGAGGGGUGAAGUUGGAUUUUGGAGUGUUUUGCCUGGCUUUUGUUUCCGGCUGCUCCUAAAAGCAUUCCGAGCCUUUGAAUCUUGGUGUUAAGUAUCCUUGACGUGAUAACCAUCUACGUCGCGGGGAAAGCCUUGAGAAAGAUGCUCGUAAAAAGACAUUUGUUUGACCAUUUUGACCUCAAAUCAGGCAGGACUACCCGCUGAACUUAA